rnacentral:rRNA from 1 species
GACGAACCGUGCGAACGUUGUUCGGAUUCACUGGGCUUAAAGGGCGCGUAGGCGGGUUGUCAAGUCAGGGGUGAAAUCUUUCGGCUCAACCGGAAAAGUGCUUCUGAUACUGGCAGCCUGGAGGGAGGUAGGGGCAGAUGGAACUUCCGGUGGAGCGGUGAAAUGCGCAGAUAUCAGGAGGAACACCGGUGGCGAAGGCGGGUCUCUGGGCCGAUAUCGACGCUGAGGAGCGAAAGCGUGGGGAGCGAACAGG